UACGUAGGUGGUGAGCGUUGUCCGGAUUUACUGGGCGUAAAGGGAGCGUAGGCGGACUUUUAAGUGAGAUGUGAAAUACCCGGGCUCAACUUGGGUGCUGCAUUUCAAACUGGAAGUCUAGAGUGCAGGAGAGGAGAAUGGAAUUCCUAGUGUAGCGGUGAAAUGCGUAGAGAUUAGGAAGAACACCAGUGGCGAAGGCGAUUCUCUGGACUGUAACUGACGCUGAGGCUCGAAAGCGUGGGGAGCGAACAGGAUUAGAUACCCCUGUAA
rnacentral:rRNA from 1 species